rnacentral:lncRNA from 1 species
AGUCGUUUUCUUUGAGAGUAUAUGACCUAACGCUACUCACCUUUGUGUCCUGUGUUCUUGACUGUACUAAGGUGGUAGCAGGGUCAUGCUUGGCUCUUCUCCUGGACUGUGUCCCUCAGGUAGCCAGUGCUAAAUUCUGGCCAUAUUGAUUUUAUUUUGUACUUGUAAUGUCCUUAUAGCCAUUCUUUUGGGUUUUCUCUACUUGUUCCUGGGUGGUCAGUGACUAGUUAACAGAGAUCAUUAACUGAAUGUCAGGUACCUACCGCUGAAGACCUUUCUCAGACUGUUGCUGGCUGAGAGCAUUAGCACUAAAACCCCUCUGUACACUCUGUGUCCUUUCCCACUGAUCAUUGGGUACAUAUUGGAGUGUCACAGUCACCCCAGAGCCUGGGAGUAUUACUUAGUGGUAGAAGAAGUAUCUGACUAGAGUGACCUGGGGCUUUGAAAGCGGUAUUGGAGCCACUAACAGCCCUUUUGAGACUUUAGUCCCAUGCAUUGCCCAGGAAGAUUGUAUUUUCAGUGUGUUACCAGGUUCUGCUUGGACUUUAGAAGAAAGGAGACCAACACAGUGUGGCUUUCUCAAGAGGAAAGCAAAGCUCAUCAGGGUCUACUUGCCUUUCUGUUUUGGUCUAGAUAAAAAUAAAGGUCAAAGCCUCAUUGCCUUGAUGGUCUGUCAGUCCCCCCUCCCCAUCCCCCUCCUCAACUCUCUCAUCUCUCUUUCUCUCUGUGAAUGUGUGUUUUUUAUUAAAUAAUUUAAAAAAAAAAUUUAUAUACAUUGGUGUUCUGCCUGCUUGUAUGUGUGUGAGGGUGUCAGAUCCCCUGGAACUGGAAUUACAGACAGUUAUGAGCUGCCAUGAGGGUGCAAGGAAUUAAACCCAGCUCCUCUGGAAGAACAGCUAGUGCUCCUUACUGCCGAGCCACCCUUUAUUGUUUUGAAACACCAUUGCUUAUAUUAGUUAUUGUUCUAUUGCUAUGACAAAAUGCCAUGAUCAAAAGGAACUUAAAAAAAAAGUAUUAUUGGGGUUAUAGUUUCAGAGGCUUUGAGUUCAUUGUGGCACAGCAAAGGUAUGGUAACAUGAAUUGUUACUUGAUCCACAAUGAGGGGCCAGAGAGAACAACACAGACACUGGGAAUGGUGUGAGUAGUCCGAAAACUCAAAUCCUGCCCCUAGUGACAUAUCUUUUCCAACAAGGCCACACCUACUAAUCCUUCCCAAAUAGUUCCACAAACUGGGACAAACAUUCAAAUAUAUGAACCUAUGUACCUUGGCAUUCAAGGCUUGGGGCUUGGCACCCUGGCUAGGAACAGUGAGGGAAUGAAGAAAGACAGACAAACAUAGUGAAACUGGGAGUCUAGCUAGUCUUGGUAGGAAGUCUGUAUAAGAGAGCAGUCUCAGGUUACAAACAUCUGGGAGGAGGAAGAAGCUGCUAGUCUUUGCCCACACUGACCAGUUGUCUAUAAGUGGACUCCUGACUCCAAGGAAAGCAUUGCCAUUCCUCUUGAGCCUGGUACAUAUGAGUGUAAUGAUUCAUGCCAAUUUCCCCUGGGUCAGUUGGCCUUGGAGUCCUCAAAAUGAUGGUGUACAUUACAAUAUUCCCUCAGGUCUUCACUCACUUGGGGUUCCCCCACUCCCUAACCUAUAAGGACCAUUCUCAUUCAAACCACAAUAUGCUUGCUUUUACUACUAAAGAGGAGCAAGCAGCAUGUAUCUUUCAGGGACACAUACAAAUUCUCCAGGUGGACACUAAGCUGCCUUCAUCCACUAACACAAAUUCUACACAUCACAGUUAUUAAUAUUCAUUGUAUCUCUCUGAGGAUGUGAGCAUGGCUGUUCUGGAUUGUUCUACUUGCCUGUAUUCAUAUUUUAGUUUGCCUCAUUUUACUUGCCUGUAUUCAUAUUUUAGUUUGGUCCAUCUUUUUUUUUUUUUUUUUUUUUUUUUACUCUUUUUCAGAGUCAUUUAUCCUUUCAUUUUUUUCUGACAGCUGUCAAAUCUGCUUUCUUUUCAAGGUACCUACCUGAUAGCUAUAACCAGCCUUCUCCAGAGACAAAAGGCUCGGAGGAUUGUUGUGUUAUAGACAAGUCAUAUCCCUGGAACUGGAAUCUUUAGGAGCAGUUCUGUAAGGGAAAUAAUUUGAUAAUGUAUUUUUCCUCUAAAAAGGAAUGAGUGCAUUUUUGUAGAAUGUGGUAUGUGGUAAUUUCACUAGGUAAUUGAACAAAAGAAAAAUGUUAAAAAUUCUUUUUUCUUUAUUUAGAGUUCUAAUUUAAGGAAGCAUAGUGUUUUGAAAAUUUACUAGUAAUUUCAUUCAAAGUUGGGUCAUUCUCAAUAUACAAAGGAUGUUACCACUCCUCAGAAGACUGGUUUCCUGAGAGAGGAAGCUUCCCGACAGGGCUUGUACAUUCCCAGAUGAUGGACAAAUAGAAAGCUUGGUGAGGAAGAUGGUGCCCUAGCCUUUGAGAGCUGGAAGUUUACAUGAGUGUUACCUGUAGGCUUGUUUUUGUGUGCCCAUUCCCAAGAUGAAGUUUAUUGGAUUGUAAAGCAGUUUGCCUGCUUUCAUACUGAGAUGAAAGCGUGUUUCUUCUAGAGUCCCUGUAUUCUCUAGUGAUGCAUAGCUUUUGAACAUUUGAUUUUUUUUGUCAUUCUGUCUACAAAUAAAAACUUAUAAUAAAUU